rnacentral:snRNA from 1 species
AUACUUACCUGGUGCUGGGGCCUCAUCAGUCACCGAGGACGAGCCCCCAGGACGAGACAUGGCAUUUCACUGCCAUCGCGUUGACACCUGCCACUACCACUAACUGGGGCAGAUGGGGCAUGCGAAUUGC